UACGGGGGGGGCAAGCGUUGUUCGGAAUUACUGGGCGUAAAGGGCUUGUAGGUGGCCAACUAAGUCAGACGUGAAAUCCCUCGGCUUAACCGGGGAACUGCGUCUGAUACUGGAUGGCUUGAGUUUGGGAGAGGGAUGCGGAAUUCCAGGUGUAGCGGUGAAAUGCGUAGAGAUGUGGAGGAAUACCAAUGGCGAAGGCAGCCCCCUGGGAUAAUAUUGACGCUCAUGCACGAAAGCGUGGGGAGCAAACAGG
rnacentral:rRNA from 1 species